GACGAAGUGUCGGCAACACUGUAUAGGCGGGGUUGCCAAACCGCUCCACGCUGCAAAAGUGGUAACGCUGCUGUGGUGAACGGUUGGAGAAAAGGCGGGUUAAAACCGUCAGGU
rfam:Candidatus Desantisbacteria bacterium CG2_30_40_21 cg2_3.0_scaffold_6186_c, whole genome shotgun sequence.